rnacentral:rRNA from 1 species
AUUGAACGCUGGCGGCGUGCUUAACACAUGCAAGUCGAGCGGAGCGGCGAACGGGUGAGUAACGAGUGAGUAACUGCCCACCUCUCUGGGAUAACAGAUGGAAACGGCUGCUAAUACCGGAUAGUGGGGGCUGGAUCGCGUCCUAUCAGCUUGUUGGUGAGGUAGUGGCCUACCAAGGCGACGACGGGUAGCCGGCCUAAGGGGGCGACGGGCAACAUUGGGCUGAGAUACGUCCCAAACUCCUACGGGAGGCAGCGGUGUGGAAUCUUGCACAAUGGUGGAAACCCUGAGGCAGCAACGCCGCGUGCGGGAUGACGGCCAUCGGGUUGUGAACCGCUUUCAGCCAUGACGCGGUAGUGGCAGAAGAAGCACCGGCUAACUACGUGCCAGCCGCCGCGGUAAUAC